rnacentral:rRNA from 1 species
GUUGUUGCGGUUAAAAAGCUCGUAGUUGGUUCUGCGUGCCGCGCUGUCGGUUCGCCGCCUGUCGGUGUAACUGGCAUGUCGCGGCAUGUCCUGUCGGUGGUGAACGGAGUCCACAAUGCUACAUAGGCUUUACAGCCGAUGUUAGCGUUGUGUGCACUUCCGUUGGCCGAUCUCUCCUACUUCGGUGCUCUUAAACGAGUGUCGAGGUAGGCCGACACGUUCACUUUGAACAAAUUAGAGUGCUUAAAGCAGGCUGAAAUAUCUGCCUGAAUAGUGGUGCAUGGAAUGAUAAAACAGGACCUCGGUUCUAUUUUGUUGGUUUUAGGAAUAUGAGGUAAUGAUCAAUGUGGACUGGCGGGGGCAUUCGUAUUGCGACGUUAGAGGUGAAAUUCUUGGAUCGUCGCAAGACGCACUAGAGCGAAAGCAUUUGCCAAGUAUGUCUUAAUUGAUCAAGAACGAAAGUUAGAGGUUCGAAGGCGAUCAGAUACCGCCCUAGUUCUAACCAUAAACGAUGCCAGCCAGCGAUCCGCCGAUGUUCC